GUUACAUGGAGUUGCAUGCUUAGCCUCAAUUAAUUUGUUUCUUAGUAGCUCUUUUUUAACGUAAGUGUAAUACUGUUAGGAAUAAGAUGUUCAAAUUUGGAUUUACGAAACAUGACGAGACUAAAGAGGAAGAUAGCAAUAGGAAAAAAUUAACGAUCAAUUGGAUACCUGCUUCGAAUGUUGAGAUAUCGGAAUCUCAAAUAAAAAAACAAUACGAACUUAACGAUUAUACCGAGAAUACAAUAUUUUCGGGUUGCAAGUUAAAGUUAAUUCGAUCUGAGAGAGCUGCAGACGAAUUAAAACAGAAUAAUUGUACAAAUAUUAUAGCAGCAGAGUCGCAACAUUCCGACCUUAUCCCUGCUAUAUACGAAGGUGGUUUAAAAAUUUGGGAAUGCAGUUACGACCUAGGUCAUUACGUAUUCGAACGUAAUAUCGAAUUUCAAGACAAAGUUGUCUUGGAUUUAGGAUGUGGUGCCGGUAUCAUCGGUCUGAUCGCUCUUCUAAACAAUUCCAUCGUUCAUUUUCAAGAUUAUAAUAUAGAGGUGAUUAGAACCGUAACGAUCCCAAACGUUUUACUAAAUUUCGAGGAUCGAGAAAGCCUUUCAAAGAGAUGUAAAUUUUUUUGUGGCGACUGGGAGUCAUUUACGAAACUAAAUGAUUCGAAUUCCACGAACGAGGUUGCACAAUACGAUUUAAUUUUCACGAGUGAAACGAUUUAUAAUCCUGACAAUCAUAGAAAGCUUUACGAAGUUUUUAAACAAAAACUAAAACUCGAUGGCGUUGGGUUCAUUGCUGGUAAAAGUUACUAUUUUGGAGUUGGGGGAGGAAUGAGACAAUUUCAAAAUCUUAUAGAGGAAGAUGGAUUUUUCGAUGUUGAGACAGUGUGGAAAAAUCGAGAGGGUAAUUAAUUAUACGUAGUUAAUUAUUGGAGGCAACGACUUGCAAGAAGAUGAUCCCAAAGAUCGUUAAAAUCGAAAUGAUAUAAUUGAGGAUUACAAAGAGAAAUUCUAAAAAUUUCAAGGAAGUAUACCUAACCCCAC